CGCCUAACACAUGCAAGUCGAACGAGAACGGCUUCAGCAAUGGGGCCUAGUAAAGUGGCGUACGGGUGAGUAACACGUGGAUAACCUGCCCUUGAGCGGGGGAUAACCUGGGGAAACCCGGGCUAAUACCGCAUAACAUCCCGAUGACGUAAGUUGUUGGGAUCAAAGGAGCAAUUCGCUUAAGGAGGGGUCCGCGGCCGAUUAGCUUGUUGGCGGGGUAACGGCCCACCAAGGCAAUGAUCGGUAGCCGGUCUGAGAGGACGCACGGCCACACUGGAACUGACACACGGUCCAGACUCCUACGGGAGGCAGCAGUGGGGAAUCUUGCACAAUGGGGGAAACCCUGAUGCAGCGACGCCGCGUGGGUGUUGUAGCUCUUCGGAGUGGAAAGCCC
rnacentral:rRNA from 1 species